UACAGAGGUCUCAAGCGUUGUUCGGAUUCAUUGGGCGUAAAGGGUGCGUAGGCGGCGCGGUAAGUCGGAUGUGAAAUCUCGGAGCUUAACUCCGAAACUGCAUUCGAUACUGCCGUGCUUGAGGACUGGAGAGGAGACUGGAAUUUACGGUGUAGCGGUGAAAUGCGUAGAUAUCCGCAGGAACAUCCGAGGCGAAAGCGGCUUGCUGGAUCGCAACUGACGCUGAGGGACGAAAGCUAGGGGAGCAAACAGG
rnacentral:rRNA from 1 species